GCCGCUGUAGCUCAGUUAGGUAGAGCAGCUGACUCUGAACCAGCUGGUCGUAGGUUCGAUUCCUACCGGCGGCG
rnacentral:tRNA from 1 species